rnacentral:ribozyme from 1 species
AAAGGAAGAGAAGGAAGAGGAGGAGGAAGAAAAAAGGGGGGGGAAGCCCCAACUGCAGUAUUCAUUUCUCAUCUUUUUCGUCUCUCUCUUUCUCUUUUUUCCCUCUCUUUUCU